UGUCCUACGGGACGCAGCAGUAGGGAAUCUUCCACAAUGGGCGAAAGCCUGAUGGAGCAACGCCGCGUGGAGGAUGAAGGUUUUCGGAUUGUAAACUCCUUUUGUUAGAGAAGAUAAUGACGGUAUCUAACGAAUAAGCACCGGCUAACUCCGUGCCAGCAGCCGCGGUAAUACGGAGGGUGCAAGCAUUACUCGGAAUCACUGGGCGUAAAGAGCGCGUAGGCGGGAUAGCAAGUCAGAUGUGAAAUCCUAUGGCUUAACCAUAGAACUGCAUUUGAAACUGUUAUUCUAGAGUAUGGGAGAGG
rnacentral:rRNA from 1 species